rfam:Filimonas lacunae strain DSM 21054 genome assembly, contig: Ga0111651_103
GAUGGUAGGCCCAUCGGCGGCGGUUUUCAGGAACAGCCGUCAAACCACCUUUAGCUGCUGCAAUUAAGAGUUGUGGUAGUGAGCAUGAAAGGAAAAGGCAUGUUAAACGUGUCAGGU